rnacentral:sRNA from 2 species
UUGCAUUUGAAGCCCAUGAGGAUGAGAACCUCCGGGGGCGGGGAGGUUCGACUCGAGCGAAGCGAGAGAACGUUGCGCCAGCAACGGCCCGCAGGGCGAGCC